AGAGUUUGAUCCUGGCUCAGAACGUACGCUGGCGGCACGCCUAACACAUGCAAGUCGAACGAAGUAGCAAUACUUAGUGGCAGACGGGUGAGUAACAUGUAGGUAUCUGCCCUUUGGCCUGGAAUAACACGAGGAAACUUGUGCUAAUACCGGAUAAGUCUUUACGGAGAAAGCUUUAUGCACCAUUGGAUGAGCCUGCACUUGAUUAGUUUGUUGGUGGGGUAAUGGCCUACCAAGACUGUGAUCAAUAGCUGAUUUGAGAGGAUGAUCAGCCACAUUGGGACUGAGACACGGCCCAAACUCCUACGGGAGGCAGCAGUGGGGAAUCUUGCACAAUGGAGGAAACUCUGAUGCAGCGAUGCCGCGUGAGUGAAGAAGGCCCUUGGGUUGUAAAGCUCUUUCGUCGGGGAAGAAAAUGACGGUACCCGAAUAAGAAGGUCCGGCUAACUUCGUGCCAGCAGCCGCGGUAAUACGAAGGGACCUAGCGUAGUUCGGAAUUACUGGGCUUAAAGAGUUCGUAGGUGGUUGAAAAAGUUAGUGGUGAAAUCCCAGAGCUUAACUCUGGAACUGCCAUUAAAACUUUUCAGCUAGAGUAUGAUAGAGGAAAGCAGAAUUUCUAGUGUAGAGGUGAAAUUCGUAGAUAUUAGAAAGAAUACCAAUUGCGAAGGCAGCUUUCUGGAUCAUAACUGACACUGAGGAACGAAAGCAUGGGUAGCGAAGAGGAUUAGAUACCCUCGUAGUCCAUGCCGUAAACGAUGUGUGUUAGACGUUGGAAAUUUAUUUUCAGUGUCGCAGCGAAAGCGAUAAACACACCGCCUGGGGAGUACGACCGCAAGGUUAAAACUCAAAUGAAUUGACGGGGACCCGCACAAGUAGUGGAGCAUGUGGUUUAAUUCGAAGAUACGCGCAGAACCUUACCAACACUUGACAUGUUCGUCGCGACUCUAAGAGAUUAGAGUUUUCGGUUCGGCCGGACGAAACACAGGUGCUGCAUGGCUGUCGUCAGCUCGUGUCGUGAGAUGUUGGGUUAAGUCCCGCAACGAGCGCAACCCUCACUUUUAGUUGCCAUCAUUAAGUUGGGCACUCUGAAAGAACUGCCAGUGAUAAGCUGGAGGAAGGUGGGGAUGACGUCAAGUCCUCAUGGCCCUUACGUGUUGGGCUACACACGUGCUACAAUGGUAUCUACAACAGGAAGCAAGACUGCGAAGUUAAGCAAAUCCCUAAAAGAUACCUCAGUUCGGAUUGCACUCUGCAACUCGAGUGCAUGAAGCUGGAAUUACUAGUAAUCGUGGAUCAGCGUGCCACGGUGAAUGCGUUCCCGGGUCUUGUACACACCGCCCGUCACACCAUGGGAGUUGGUUCUACCUUAAGGCAAGGUUUCAAACCCUUGACCACGGUAUAGUCAGCGACUGGGGUGAAGUCGUAACAAGGUAACC
rnacentral:rRNA from 2 species